rnacentral:lncRNA from 1 species
CUCCUGGUCACCAGCAAACUGAUACUGCUGUAGUGGGAAUCCUUGGGCAGCCUGGGAAAUCAGGCCAAGGCUUGUGGAUCCGCUGUUUCCACUGCUGGGAGGAGGAGGAGGAGGAGGAGGAGAGAUUUCCCAAUCCUUUCUGCUACAGC